rnacentral:rRNA from 1 species
UACGUAGGGGGCAAGCGUUGUCCGGAAUUAUUGGGCGUAAAGCGCGCGCAGGCGGUCGAUUAAGUCUGGUGUAUAAACCAAGGGCUCAACCUUUGGACGCAUUGGAAACUGGUCGGCUGGAGUGUAGGAGAGGAAAGUGGAAUUCCACGUGUAGCGGUGAAAUGCGUAGAGAUGUGGAGGAACACCAGAGGCGAAGGCGGCUUUCUGGCCUAUAACUGACGCUGAGGCGCGAAAGCGUGGGGAGCGAACAGG